rnacentral:rRNA from 1 species
GACGAACGCUGGCGGCGUGCCUAAUACAUGCAAGUCGUGCGGACCUUUUAAAGGCUUGCUUUUAAAAGGUUAGCGGCGGACGGGUGAGUAACACGUGGGCAACCUGCCUGUAAGACUGGGAUAACGCCGGGAAACCGGGGCUAAUACCAGAUCGUUUUUUCCUCCGCAUGGAGGAAAAAGGAAAGGCGGCUUCGGCUGCCACUUACAGAUGGGCCCGCGGCGCAUUAGCUAGUUGGCGGGGUAACGGCCCACCAAGGCAACGAUGCGUAGCCGACCUGAGAGGGUGAUCGGCCACAUUGGGACUGAGACACGGCCCAAACUCCUACGGGAGGCAGCAGUAGGGAAUCUUCCGCAAUGGACGAAAGUCUGACGGAGCAACGCCGCGUGAGUGAAGAAGGCCUUCGGGUCGUAAAACUCUGUUGCCGGGGAAGAACAAGUGCCGUUCGAACAGGGCGGCGCCUUGACGGUACCCGGCCAGAAAGCCACGGCUAACUACGUG